UUAAGUUAUUAAGGGCGCACGGUGGAUGCCUUGGCACUAGAAGCCGAUGAAGGACGUUACUAACGACGAUAUGCUUUGGGUAGCUGUAAGUAAGCGUUGAUCCAGAGAUUUCCGAAUGGGGGAACCUAGCAUGAGUUAUGUCAUGUUAUCGACAUGUGAAUUCAUAGCAUGUCAGAAGGCAGACCCGGAGAACUGAAACAUCUUAGUACCCGGAGGAAGAGAAAGAAAAAUCGAUUCCCUGAGUAGCGGCGAGCGAAACGGGAAGAGCCCAAACCAACAAGCUUGCUUGUUGGGGUUGUAGGACACUCUAUACGGAGUUACAAAAGAACAUGUUAGACGAAUCAUCUGGAAAGAUGAAUCAAAGAAGGUAAUAAUCCUGUAGUCGAAAACAUAUUCUCUCUUGAGUGGAUCCUGAGUACGGCGGAACACGAGAAAUUCCGUCGGAAUCCGCGGGGACCAUCCCGCAAGGCUAAAUACUCCCUAGUGACCGAUAGUGAACCAGUACCGUGAGGGAAAGGUGAAAAGCACCCCGGAAGGGGAGUGAAAUAGAUCCUGAAACCGUGUGCCUACAACAAGUCAAAGCUCGUUAAUGAGUGAUGGCGUGCCUUUUGUAGAAUGAACCGGCGAGUUACGAUUGCAUGCGAGGUUAAGUCGAAGAGACGGAGCCGCAGCGAAAGCGAGUCUGAAUAGGGCGAAUAAGUAUGUAGUCGUAGACCCGAAACCAUGUGAUCUACCCAUGUCCAGGUUGAAGGUGCGGUAAAACGCACUGGAGGACCGAACCCACGUACGUUGAAAAGUGCGGGGAUGAGGUGUGGGUAGCGGAGAAAUUCCAAACGAACUUGGAGAUAGCUGGUUCUCUCCGAAAUAGCUUUAGGGCUAGCCUCGGAAUUGAGAAUGAUGGAGGUAGAGCACUGUUUGGACUAGGGGCCCAUCUCGGGUUACCGAAUUCAGAUAAACUCCGAAUGCCAUUCAUUUAUAUCCGGGAGUCAGACUGCGAGUGAUAAGAUCCGUAGUCGAAAGGGAAACAGCCCAGACCACCAGCUAAGGUCCCAAAAUAUAUGUUAAGUGGAAAAGGAUGUGGGGUUGCACAGACAACUAGGAUGUUGGCUUAGAAGCAGCCACCAUUUAAAGAGUGCGUAAUAGCUCACUAGUCGAGUGACCCUGCGCCGAAAAUGUACCGGGGCUAAACAUAUUACCGAAGCUGUGGACUACACCAUUAGGUGUAGUGGUAGGAGAGCGUUCUAAGGGCGUUGAAGGUCGAUCGUGAGGACGGCUGGAGCGCUUAGAAGUGAGAAUGCCGGUAUGAGUAGCGAAAGACAGGUGAGAAUCCUGUCCACCGUAUGACUAAGGUUUCCUGGGGAAGGCUCGUCCGCCCAGGGUUAGUCGGGACCUAAGCCGAGGCCGAUAGGCGUAGGCGAUGGACAACAGGUUGAUAUUCCUGUACCAGUUGUUUUUGUUUGAGCAAUGGAGGGACGCAGUAGGCUAAGGAAUGCAUGCGAUUGGAAGUGCAUGUCCAAGCAAUGAGUCUUGAGUAGAGUUAAAUGCUUUACUCUUUAAGGACAAGUUGUGACGGGGAGCGAAAUAAUAGUAGCGAAGUUCCUGAUGUCACACUGCCAAGAAAAGCUUCUAGUGAGAAAACAACUGCCCGUACCGUAAACCGACACAGGUAGUCGAGGCGAGUAGCCUCAGGUGAUCGAGAGAACUCUCGUUAAGGAACUCGGCAAAAUGACCCCGUAACUUCGGGAGAAGGGGUGCUGACUUCGGUCAGCCGCAGUGAAUAGGCCCAAGCGACUGUUUAUCAAAAACACAGGUCUCUGCUAAACCGUAAGGUGAUGUAUAGGGGCUGACGCCUGCCCGGUGCUGGAAGGUUAAGAGGAGUGGUUAGCGCAAGCGAAGGUACGAAUUGAAGCCCCAGUAAACGGCGGCCGUAACUAUAACGGUCCUAAGGUAGCGAAAUUCCUUGUCGGGUAAGUUCCGACCCGCACGAAAGGCGUAACGAUUUGGGCACUGUCUCAACGAGAGACUCGGUGAAAUUUUAGUACCUGUGAAGAUGCAGGUUACCCGCGACAGGACGGAAAGACCCCAUGGAGCUUUACUGUAGUUUGAUAUUGAGUGUUUGUACCACAUGUACAGGAUAGGUAGGAGCCGAUGAGACCGGAACGCUAGUUUCGGAGGAGGCGCUGGUGGGAUACUACCCCUGCGUUAUGGCCACUCUAACCCGCACCACUGAUCGUGGUGGGAGACAGUGUCAGAUGGGCAGUUUGACUGGGGCGGUCGCCUCCUAAAAGGUAACGGAGGCGCCCAAAGGUUCCCUCAGAAUGGUUGGAAAUCAUUCAUAGAGUGUAAAGGCAUAAGGGAGCUUGACUGCGAGACCUACAAGUCGAGCAGGGACGAAAGUCGGGCUUAGUGAUCCGGUGGUUCCGCAUGGAAGGGCCAUCGCUCAACGGAUAAAAGCUACCCUGGGGAUAACAGGCUUAUCUCCCCCAAGAGUUCACAUCGACGGGGAGGUUUGGCACCUCGAUGUCGGCUCAUCGCAUCCUGGGGCUGUAGUCGGUCCCAAGGGUUGGGCUGUUCGCCCAUUAAAGCGGUACGCGAGCUGGGUUCAGAACGUCGUGAGACAGUUCGGUCCCUAUCCGUCGUGGGCGUAGGAAAUUUGAGAGGAGCUGUCCUUAGUACGAGAGGACCGGGAUGGACAUACCUCUGGUGUACCAGUUGUCGUGCCAACGGCAUAGCUGGGUAGCUAUGUAUGGACGGGAUAAGUGCUGAAAGCAUCUAAGCAUGAAGCCCCCCUCAAGAUGAGAUUUCCCAACUUCGGUUAUAAGAUCCCUCGAAGAUGACGAGGUUAAUAGGUUCGAGGUGGAAGCGUGGUGACACGUGGAGCUGACGAAUACUAAUCGAUCGAAGACUUAAUCAA
rnacentral:rRNA from 1 species